rnacentral:rRNA from 1 species
AUAGCGUAUAUUAAAGUUGUUGCAGUUAAAAAGCUCGUAGUUGAACUUCAGACCUGGCCGGGCGGUCUGCCUAACGGUACGUACUGUCUGGCUGGGCCUUACCUCUUGGUGAGCCGGCAUGCCCUUCACUGGGUGUGUCGGGGAACCAGGACUUUUACCUUGAGAAAAUUAGAGUGUUCAAAGCAGGCCUACGCCCGAAUACAUUAGCAUGGAAUAAUAAAAUAGGACGUGCGGUUCUAUUUUGUUGGUUUCUAGAGUCGCCGUAAUGAUUAAUAGGGAUAGUUGGGGGCAUUAGUAUUCAGUUGCUAGAGGUGAAAUUCUUGGAUUUACUGAAGACUAACUACUG